UUGAUGCGCCGCGAUUGAUGCGUCAAUUGACGGCUGCGCGUACCGCGUUAAGGAGACAUGGGUGGGCAAAGGAAAGUGUGGGUCACGCUCUGCGGGCCCGCUCGCCGCAAGGCUCCUCCACUCGUCUGCGGGAUUUCGAGCGAGCUCGGCGCGGUAUAUACGCGAGUCUUUGUGAACGCCCGAAUCGGCCCUGCCUCCGCCGCGGUAUCAGAGCGUAGUGUUGAUGGAUGGCUUCCGUCACAGGGAGCCGCAAACGGGUUGGGAACUCGCCGCCGUACCCGGCACCCUUCCCGGAGCUCCCCGAGAGCGUUCGAGUCGGAUGCACCAGGAGACCAGGUCGCAAUCCAGCAACGAAGGACAUUGUUAAUUGCUGCAUCCUGCUGCGUCUGUGUUCUAACAGACUCUAGGCCUCUGGAAAUCCUUCUGUGGCUUUCAGACUGCACCCC